GCUUCUACCAUUCCUUUUGUGCGAGGACGCUCAGAUCUAAAUAUCUGGCCCAAACUUCUCUGUGGGGUGCCAGUUUUGCAUUUCUGAAUGACUGCAGCUGUUUUCUGUCUUCAUGUCCUAGAGGUCCUUAAAAAAUACUUAAAAAACUGAGCUCAGAAUUUCUACCCACAAACUUCCUCUUCCUUCUAAUUCCCCAUUCAUCGGUCAUGUAGCAUGACCACGUCCUUAUACCCAUCUUUUCCUCUAUGUUAAGUACCCGUCCCUUCAUCUCAACUUGUUCAAAUACCGUACAGCUUUGAAGGACCAAUUCAAUAGUUCAAUGUCCCUUCUUUCAAGAAACCAUUGAGCCAUGUGAAAAAAGUGUGGGUUUCAGCAGUGAGAGAUGUGGUUCAGUUCCAAGCUCUGUCACCAACUGUGUGCCUCUGUAUAGGCAUUUAAUACUGUGAACUGGAGUUUUCUCAUCCAUAAAAUGGGAGUAAGAGUGACUGACUCACUGGUUAUUGAAAAGAUUAGAUGAGUUAUUUUUUUUCAUAGUUUAUUUAAUCAUUUUUUAAUGAUGCACAAUUAGCUUGUUUCCAGUUUUCUGCUAUUAUAGAAAAUCCUGCGUUAUUUAUUUAUUUAUUUAUUUUGAAGAAGAUUAGCCCUGAGCUAACAUCUGCUGCCAAUCCUCUUCUUUUUGCUGAGGAAGACUGGCCCUGAGCCAAAAUCCGUGCCCAUCUUCCUCUAUUUUAUAUGUAGGACUCCUACCACACCAUGGCUUGCCAAGCGGUGCCACAUCCCCACCUGGGAUCUGAACCAGUGAACCCCGGGCCGCUGAAGUGGAACAUGCGCACUUAACUCCUGUCCACUGGGCCAGCCCCUAGCUUCCCCGCAGGUGAGGACACACUGAGAAGAUGGCUGUCCACAAGCCAGGAAGAGAGCUCCCACCAGGAGCCUAAUCCGCCAGCACCUUGAUCUUGGAUUUCCAACCUCCAGAGCUGAGAAGCUGGUGCCCUUCACCGUGGAGCUGCACCCACACCUGGCCCAGGACUUGGAGAAGCUGAAAGAAGGAGAUCCCGUGGGAGUCAGAGAGGCCGCAAAUCCGGCUACCACCUGGCAUGGAGGUGACCCGGCAUACAGUGGCGGUGGGGGCCUCAGUGAGCCCCCUAAGCACAGUGGUGUGGUGGCUGCUCCUUCUCUGCCCUCCAGCUCUUGUGUACAUUUCUCCCUUGGCCUGCCCUGGCCGUGUUUCCUCCCCACAAGCUUCUCUCUCC
rnacentral:lncRNA from 1 species